AGGUACUCUCGACUCGUGUACAUUAAAUUUCGGCUGAAGAGGACCUUAAUUGGUCCUAAAACGGCCAGAGGUAGAGGGGUUUUAGUCGGUAGGUCCGAGGACUUCUUCCUCGGGAAUCCGACACUACCCAGUCGUACGGACGGCUGGGUGUCUUUUGAAGAUUUCCCCUCUUCCACGAAA
rfam:Agrilus planipennis Contig60006, whole genome shotgun sequence.